UAGGGAAUAUUAGAAAUGGGCGGAAGCCUGAUCUAGCAACACCGCGUGUGCGAUGAAGGCCUUCGGGUCGUAAAGCACUUUUUGGAGGGAAUAGGAAGGAAGGUACCUCCAGAAUAAGUCUCGGCUAACUACGUGCCAGCAGCCGCGGUAACACGUAGGAGGCAAACGUUAUCCGGAUUCACUGGGCGUAAAGCGCGUGCAGGUGGUUUCGUAAGUAGGGCGUGAAAGCUCCCGGCUCAACUGGGAGAGGCCGUACUAAACUGCGGAGCUAGAGGAUGGUAGAGGGAGGUGGAAUUCCAGGUGUAGUGGUGAAAUGCGCAGAUAUCUGGAGGAACACCAGUGGCGAAGGCGGCCUCCUGGACCAUACCUGACACUCAGACGCGAAAGCUAGGGUAGCAAA
rnacentral:rRNA from 1 species